rnacentral:rRNA from 1 species
AUUGAACGCUGGCGGCAUGCCUUACACAUGCAAGUCGAACGGCAGCACGGGAGCUUGCUCCUGGUGGCGAGUGGCGAACGGGUGAGUAAUACAUCGGAACGUACCCUGAAGUGGGGGAUAACGUAGCGAAAGUUACGCUAAUACCGCAUAUUCUGUGAGCAGGAAAGAGGGGGAUCGCAAGACCUCUUGCUUUAGGAGCGGCCGAUGUCGGAUUAGCUAGUUGGUGAGGUAAAGGCUCACCAAGGCGACGAUCCGUAGCGGGUCUGAGAGGAUGAUCCGCCACACUGGGACUGAGACACGGCCCAGACUCCUACGGGAGGCAGCAGUGGGGAAUUUUGGACAAUGGGCGCAAGCCUGAUCCAGCCAUGCCGCGUGAGUGAAGAAGGCCUCGGUGUAAG